rnacentral:rRNA from 1 species
UUCAGGGGUAAACCUGAGAAACCCAAAAGAUCGAAUGGGGAGAUUCAUCGACGACGAAGCUGGCUCCCGUUGGCGUGCGAUUCCCCCGUUGGGACCUCGGUUCCAGAACGCGGGGUACACCCCUUCGGCGAAUAACCGGCGACGUAGUCGUGCACUUCUCCCUUAGUAGAACGUCGCGACCCGUUGUGUGUCGGUCUACGGCCUGGGCUAUUUGCCUGUCGCGGUGGCAUUCGUUCGCUCGCGGCAGAGGCUCGGUCGCCCGGCCGGCUGCACGACGGUACUCCGACGGUAUCGGGCCGCAACCAAUCCAUUCUCGAAUGGUAUAUGCGUCCAGGCCCGUCGCAAGCUCGGACAGCACCCGGAGCGUGUGGACGCAGCGCCCUCCCCGGGUCUGGCCAGCUGUUAGCAGACGGUGUCCUCGGACCGGCCAAGCUUCGAAUUACCGGUCAGCGACGCUAUUGCUUUGGGUACUCUCAGGACCCGUCUUGAAACACGGACCAAGGAGUCUAACAUGUGCGCGAGUCAUUGGGACAUUGAAACCUAAAGGCGAAAUGAAAGUGAAAGUCGUCGUAAGCGUCGACCAAGGGAGGAUGGGCCGCGUCACGUCGCGGCCUCGCACUCCCGGGGCGUCUCGUUCUCGUUGAGAAGAGGCGCACCCAGAGCGUACACGUU